rnacentral:rRNA from 1 species
CUAAUACCUUUAGCUCUUCCCACCUCCUGUAUACCAAUGGACCACUUUACGAACAUAAAGAUACCGAUGUUAAAAUUAGUAAAAAUGAUAAAUUCUAAGCACAAGCCACACUAACAGUAAAACUAUUUGGGAUAAAUAAAAUUAGACCACUUAUUAAACUGUAAACCCAACACAGGAGUGCGUACAGAAAAUUGAAAGGUGUAAAAGGAACUCGGCAACAACAAAUCCCAACUGUUUACCAAAAACAUAGCCUUUAGCAAAAAGUAUUAAAGGUCACGCCUGCCCAGUGAAAAUUUUAAACGGCCGCGGGAUCUUCCACCGUGCAAAGGUAGCAUAAUCACUUGUCCCCUAAAUAGUGACUAGUAUGAAAGGCCAAAUGAGGAUUUAACUGUCUCUUAUACCCAAUCUUUGAAAUUAAUCUACCAGUACAAAAGCUGGAAUAAUAACAUAAGACGAAAAGACCCUAUGGAACUUUAAGCAAUAUUUUAACAUAUACUAUAAAGCUUUUAGUUGGGGCAACUCUGGAAAAAAAGAAAACUUCCAACAAAUAUACGAUAGACAUAUCUAUUCUAUAUGACCCAGUCUUACUGACCAAAGAACCAAGCUACCCUAGGGAUAACAGCGCCAUCCCCUCCAAGAGCCCGAAUCGACGAGCGGGGUUUACGACCUCGAUGUUGGAUCAGGACCCCCAAACAGUGCAACCGCUGUUAAAGGUUUGUUUGUUCAACAAUUAAAGUCCUAC